GAUGAACGCUGGCGGCGUGCCUAAUACAUGCAAGUCGAGCGAACAGAUGAGGAGCUUGCUCCUCUGACGUUAGCGGCGGACGGGUGAGUAACACGUGGAUAACCUACCUAUAAGACUGGGAUAACUUCGGGAAACCGGAGCUAAUACCGGAUAAUAUAUUGAACCGCAUGGUUCAAUAGUGAAAGACGGUUUUGCUGUCACUUAUAGAUGGAUCCGCGCCGCAUUAGCUAGUUGGUAAGGUGACGGCUUACCAAGGCAACGAUGCGUAGCCGACCUGAGAGGGUGAUCGGCCACACUGGAACUGAGACACGGUCCAGACUCCUACGGGAGGCAGCAGUAGGGAAUCUUCCGCAAUGGGCGAAAGCCUGACGGAGCAACGCCGCGUGAGUGAUGAAGGUCUUCGGAUCGUAAAACUCUGUUAUUAGGGAAGAACAAAUGUGUAAGUAACUAUGCACGUCUUGACGGGACCUAAUCAGAAAGCCACGGCGAACUACGU
rnacentral:rRNA from 1 species